rnacentral:rRNA from 1 species
ACGCUCGACACCUACGGGGGCAGCAGUCGGGAAUAUUGCGCAAUGGAGGGAACUCUGACGCAGUGACGCCGCGUAUAGGAAGAAGGUUUUCGGAUUGUAAACUAUUGUCGUUAGGGAAGAGAAAGGACAGUACCUAAGGAGGAAGCUCCGGCUAACUACGUGCCAGCAGCCGCGGUAAUCUGAGCGGGCUGGCAAGGC